rnacentral:lncRNA from 1 species
CACUCUUUCUCCUAGUGGUAAAAAAAUAAAUCCGAUACUCUAGAUAACCUCCCGGGUGAAGUGCUCUCCGAUAUCCGUGUGCUUGUGGAUCAAUUCCUUAUUGCGUUUCGAAAUAUCAACAAGCAUUUUUGGCGCCGUUGCCGGGGAGAAAGACGGUUUGCUGAGAUAACCUUGAGUCUUACUACUAGCUUGUAUCUAUACUUUUAUCUUUUCUUAUCUUUUAUAUUCUUUAUUUAUUUUCUUUACUCUUACCUUAUGGAAAACCAAAAUUCUAAAUCGAGCCAUG